rnacentral:rRNA from 1 species
GACGAACGCUGGCGGCGUGCCUAAUACAUGCAAGUUGAGCGCUGAAGGUUGGUCCUUCUACCAACUGGAUGUGCAGCGCACGGGUGAGUAACGCGUGGGGAAUCUGCCUUUGAGCGGGGGACCACAUUUGGAAACGAAUGCUAAUACCGCAUAAAAACUUUAAACACAAGUUUUACGUUUGAAAGAUGCAAUCGCAUCACUCAAAGAUGAUCCCGCGUUGUAUUAGCUAGUUGGUGAGGUAAAGGCUCACCAAGGCGAUGAUACAUAGCCGACCUGAGAGGGUGAUCGGCCACAUUGGGACUGAGACACGGCCCAGACUCCUACGGGAGGCAGCAGUAGGGAAUCUUCGGCAAUAGACGAAAGUCUGACCGAGCAACGCCGCGUGAGUGAAGAAGGUUUUCGGAUCGUAAAGCUCUGUUGGUAGAGAAGAACGUUGGUGAGAGUGGAAAGCUCAUCAAGUGACGGUAACUUCCCAGAAAGGGACGGCUAACUACGUG